rnacentral:rRNA from 1 species
AAGCGGAGGAAAAGAAACUAACAAGGAUUCCCCUAGUAGCGGCGAGCGAAGCGGGAAGAGCUCAAAUUUAUAAUCUGGCACCUUCGGUGUCCGAGUUGUAAUCUCUAGAAAUGUUUUCCGCGUUGGACCGCACACAAGUCUGUUGGAAUACAGCGGCAUAGUGGUGAGACCCCCGUAUAUGGUGCGGACGCCCAGCGCUUUGUGAUACAUUUUCGAAGAGUCGAGUUGUUUGGGAAUGCAGCUCAAAUUGGGUGGUAAAUUCCAUCUAAAGCUAAAUAUUGGCGAGAGACCGAUAGCGAACAAGUACCGUGAGGGAAAGAUGAAAAGCACUUUGGAAAGAGAGUUAACAGUACGUGAAAUUGUUGGAAGGGAAACGCUUGAAGUCAGACUUGCUUGCCGAGCAAUCGGUUUGCAGGCCAGCAUCAGUUUUCCGGGAUGGAUAAUGGUAGAGAGAAGGUAGCAGUUUCGGCUGUGUUAUAGCUCUCUGCUGGAUACAUCUUGGGGGACUGAGGAACGCAGUGUGCCUUUGGCGGGGGUUUCGACCUCUUCACACUUAGGAUGCUGGUGGAAUGGCUUUAAACGACCCGUCUUGAAACACGGACCA